CAGUAGCCGCGGGAAUACGAAGGGUGCAAGCGUUACUCGGAAUUACUGGGCGUAAAGCGUGCGUAGGUGGUGGUUUAAGUCCGUUGUGAAAGCCCUGGGCUCAACCUGGGAAUUGCAGUGGAUACUGGGUCACUAGAGUGUGGUAGAGGAUAGUGGAAUUUCCGGUGUAGCAGUGAAAUGCGUAGAGAUCGGAAGGAACAUCUGUGGCGAAGGCGACUAUCUGGGCCAACACUGACACUGAGGCACGAAAGCAUGGGGAGCAAACAGGAUUAGAUACCCCUGUAGUCCCUGUCUCUUAUAC
rnacentral:rRNA from 1 species